rnacentral:rRNA from 1 species
UUACGGCCAUAUUAUGUCAAAACAUUGGUUCUCAUAUGAUCACUGAAGUUAAGCAACAUUGAGCUUGGUUAAUAUCAAGAUGGGUGACCACGUAGGAAUGCCAACUGCUGUAAG